UUUAGCCUUUGACGGUGUUUCGAAAAUCGUAAUAUUAUUAUAUAUAUUUAUAAUAAUCCUAAUAUUUAAUAAACAAAAAACUGAAUGCACUGGUCAAUUUUGAGCACUUGUACUUAAAUAUACUACAAUUGAUACAAAUGUAUUGCCUGGCACGCAUAUUCAAGUUGAUAUUUUGCAGCAUAGUCCAAAAAAUGAUAAACAAUUAAAAACUUAUUCUCGUAAGAGGCUUCACGAAGAUGAGAUUGUCGGUGACCAACAUGAAAAAGUUAAACUUGUACGUCACAGUCCCAGUCCUCAAAGCACACAGACAGUUCUAAAGUUCACUGUAGAUUAUCCAGAUACUCCAUCUUCCACAAAAUCUAAUAUUAAAAAAAAAUCAAGAGUUUUAAGUGUUCAGUUAACUUCAUUAAAAAAAAAAAAUUAAAGCUUAAAAAAAUAAGUAUUUACGCCUUAAAAAGAAAGCAAAUCUAGCGUCUAAAAACUUUUUGGCAAAUUUACUUAAAGGAAAAAGUACAGCUGUAAAAACACUAAUUAACAUGCAGUUAUCUCCAACGAGGAAAAAAGUUUGGACGACCAAUGAGCGACAUUUGGCACUUUCUCUUUAUUAUAAGUCUUAUUCUUAUUUAUCUUAUUAAAAGCUUAUUGAAUUUUU